rnacentral:rRNA from 1 species
AGAGUUUGAUCCUGGCUCAGGAUGAACGCUGGCGGCNNGCUUAACACAUGCAAGUCGAACGGUGAAAGAGAGCUUGCUCUCUGGAUCAGUGGCGAACGGGUGAGUAACACGUGAGCAAUCUGCCCCUGACUCUGGGAUAAGCGCUGGAAACGGCGUCUAAUACCGGAUACGAGCUGCGAAGGCAUCUUCAGCAGCUGGAAAGAACUUCGGUCAGGGAUGAGCUCGCGGCCUAUCAGCCAGUUGGUGAGGUAAUGGCUCACCAAGGCGUCGACGGGUAGCCGGCCUGAGAGGGUGACCGGCCACACUGGGACUGAGACACGGCCCAGACUCCUACGGGAGGCAGCAGUGGGGAAUAUUGCACAAUGGGCGCAAGCCUGAUGCAGCAACGCCGCGUGAGGGACGACGGCCUUCGGGUUGUAAACCUCUUUUAGCAAGGAAGAAGCGAAAGUGACGGUACUUGCAGAAAAAGCGCCGGCUAACUACGUGCCAGCAGCCGCGGUAAUACGUAGGGCGCAAGCGUUAUCCGGAAUUAUUGGGCGUAAAGAGCUCGUAGGCGGUUUGUCACGUCUGCUGUGAAAACGCGAGGCUCAACCUCGCGCCUGCAGUGGGUACGGGCAGACUAGAGUGCGGUAGGGGAGAUUGGAAUUCCUGGUGUAGCGGUGGAAUGCGCAGAUAUCAGGAGGAACACCGAUGGCGAAGGCAGAUCUCUGGGCCGUAACUGACGCUGAGGAGCGAAAGGGUGGGGAGCAAACAGGCUUAGAUACCCUGGUAGUCCACCCCGUAAACGUUGGGAACUAGUUGUGGGGUCCAUUCCACGGAUUCCGUGACGCAGCUAACGCAUUAAGUUCCCCGCCUGGGGAGUACGGCCGCAAGGCUAANACUCAAAGGAAUUGACGGGGACCCGCACAAGCGGCGGAGCAUGCGGAUUAAUUCGAUGCAACGCGAAGAACCUUACCAAGGCUUGACAUAUACGAGAACACUGCAGAAA